GGUCACUUUCUGGAACGAUGGCAUCCGGUGGUACGAUGGCGAUGUCCAAGAGUAAUGAGGAAUCUGAGGAUCUGUCACGGUCGUUUUUAACUCUUGAAAAAAUUGACGUCAACAUAUUUAGGGCUUCUGCAAAAUGCCUUUGGCGGCCAGUAGGGUCAAGAUUUGUGUUUGGGGGACAGGUUGUAGGGCAGGCGUUAACAGCUGCCUUCAAUACUGUUAGAGAGCCCUUGUUGUUGCACAGUCUGCAUUGCUACUUUCUAAAGGGAGGAAAUAAUGAAAAACCAAUUAUAUACCACGUCGAUAGGACGAGGGAUGGCCAGACAUACACAAGUCGCAAUAUUAAGGCCACUCAAGAGGGAAUCCCUAUAUUUACCAUGCAAGCCUCCUUCAAAGUUGAUGAGGUAGAUCCCUUAGAACAUCAAUUCACAAUGCCUGUGGUCCCAGACCCCGAAGAAUUGAUCAGUUCAAUGCAAUAUAUUAGAAACAGACUUGAGUAGAACAGAGACUAUGUCCGAUUCAGAGAGAAUAAGGAUUAGCGAGUACCUCACACAGACAAUACACAUAGAAUCCCGCCCGGUGGAUCCACAGCUGUAUCACGGCCAGAAACAAGGGGAACCCCGACGCUAUGUCUGGGUCAGGGCCAUGGAAAAUAUAGGUGAUAACAUGCAGCUCCAGCAGUGUGUGGCUGGGUUUAUCUCGGACUUGGCCCUGUUAGGGGCCGCCAAGCAACCAGCCCCGGUGGGUCACCAGAUCGGGUUCAUCACAUCGCUGGACCACAGCAUGUGGUUUCACAACACGUUCAGAGCUGAGGAAUGGAUGCUUUGUGAAAUUGAGAGCCCUCAGUGUGGUAAAGGUAAAGCCCUUGCCCUAGGCAGGAUGUGGAGGAGAGAUGGGGUGCUGGCUGUGUCCAUGGCCCAGGAAGGGGUACUUCGAUCAAAAAUUUGACCAGUCUCCUCAAUCAUUUAUCUAUUUUGUGAAGGUGGAGCUGUCUCAGGCAGACUCUGGAUGUCCUGAGAAGUAAAAUGAUGCCUUGUGUUCAGUGAAGACCAUGGUGGUCAGUGUUGACCAUGUUGUAUAGUGUGGUAGUUUGACAGUGGGUAGAUGUGAUGUUGUUUAUCAUUUGUAUGAUUUGACAAUCAUUGUUGUUAUUGAUGUGUUUUACGGGUAAGAAAGUGCAAGAGCUUUAUGCAAGCCUAUUCCUUGGAGGACAACAGACAUAUCAAAUCAAUUUCUUUUGAAUAUAUGUAUAGGUUUUAAAAUUUUACUGCACUGUUUUUUAUCCUGAUUCACAGAACACAAGACUACACUAAGAAUGUAAAUAAAACCAUUAUUAUUUGUUAUAAUAUACAUAACUUUUCAUGCUGCUGAUAAGUUUUCAUGUAAUUAUUUUGAUUGACGCAUUCAUUGUUUAAAUUUACACAACCCUUUUGGAAUUGCAGUAUUAUCUUGCCUUUAAAAAGUUCCAAUGUACAUGUGCAUGUACCUGUUGAUUCAACUGUGAUAGAUACCGUAUAUACUUUUACAAAUGUUUAAAGCAUUCAUUGGUUAAUUUUGAUAAAUUAUUAAAAAUUAUACAUGUU
rnacentral:misc_RNA from 1 species